AAAGUAGGUUGCAAUUACAGUGCUUCAUUUUGUGGGAGUAUUGCCAUUAUCCUGCUGGAAAAAAAAAGCCAUGUUGAUUGUUUCUGAUUUUGCCUUUCUGGGGGUAAAAUCAUAACACCUUGACAUGAACACCA
ensembl:snoRNA